GUCAGAAAAAAAUGUACAAGGACAAUGAUUAGCAAGACCCAUACUAUGAUGUCCCAUGUAUGACGAACUAUGGUGGUGUCAAAGGAUGUCCUUUAUUACUUUCUCCCCUACACACAUGCACGAUACCCAUUAUUUCCAACAUUGAAAAGGAUUACAAAAGGAAUUAAAUUUGGUGAAAGAUUUAUUAGCUAACACUGCCUCAACGGAAGUUCCAUUAUUCACUCCUUAUUUCACGAAGGCACAGAAGAAAAAAGAAGUUAAGGUGGCAUACCUAACUCGUUCUCAGGGUCCACUCCAUCACCUCCCAAAUGAUGGAAUAUUCGGGGAGCCGGCAGGACAUGUUAUUGUUGUUUGGUUUGACACAAUUCCGUCCUUUUUGUCUUUAGAUUUCUUUAGGGAUAUGAAUUUCUUUCCUAACUAUCGCUUUCCCUAGGAUUUCCGUUGUUUCUUUCUGUUUCCUGCAUCUCUUUUUGAGGGUUUUGGCCUAGUCCCCCCUCUUUUAUAUAUAUUUUUCCCUUUUUAUAAUAAUAUAUAUGGAGUAGGCGGUAGAGGAUGGGAGCUCUAGUUGGAUGCCAACCUAGUUGGGAUGUUUCUGGCACUCCUUGAUGCCUAACCUACUUUUUGCCUUAUAAAAAAAAAUCAUUUUCUUUCACCAGCAAAUUCCAUAGAGGUUUAGAAACUUUUGAGAAAUAUUUUAUGAACCUCCAGUAAAAUACGGCAUGUCCU